rnacentral:rRNA from 1 species
CCGAAAGGCAGGAGUGCCCGCAAGGGAGCGCGGAGACAGGUGGUGCAUGGCUGUCGUCAGCUCGUGUCGUGAGAUGUUGGGUUAAGUCCCGCAACGAGCGCAACCCUCACCCCUUGUUGCCAUCAGGUCAUGCUGGGGACUCUAGGGGAACUGCCCCGGUCAACGGGGAGGAAGGCGGGGAUGACGUCAAGUCAUCAUGCCCCUUACGCCCUGGGCUACACACGCGCUACAAUGGCCGGUACAAAGGGAUGCGAGACCGCGAGGUGUAGCCAAACCCAAAAAGCCGGUCUAAGUUCAGAUUGGAGUCUGCAACUCGACUCCAUGAAGGAGGAAUCGCUAGUAAUCGCCCAUCAGCACGGGGCGGUGAAUACGUUCCCGGGCCUUGUACACACCGCCCGUCACACCACGAAAGUCAG